rnacentral:lncRNA from 1 species
ACACUACAAUCAAUGGUUGUUCCAUAAUUUUUUUUAGCAGGAGCAAGAAAAAAAAAGUCCAUAAUACUUUAACUUAUACAAAUUAUAACUAUGGCUUACAGUUUUUAAUACGACCAAAGAGGAUCUGUAUUUUUAAAGUCAAAACACCACCAUUUAAAUAAAGCACAUAAGCAAAUUGUACUCUGAAGUCAUCUUUAUCUAUAUAAAAGAUAGCAUCGACGUAACCUAUUAUAAUUAUCUCUUCUUGGCCUCCAUAUACUAAUAA